UUUGAUUCAGUACUGAUUCAGUACUAUGACUAUGUAAUGUUGCGCUGUUCAAAAAAAAUAGAUAUUUAUAUAGUUUGCUUCCUUAACAUUACUCUCCUUAGCAUUAAAAGUGUCAGAGCAAUAGCAUCAUCUACUUAUAUACUAAUGUGCAAAAGUUUAGAAUCUACUAUUUUUAGUAGAAAUUAAUACUGUAGUGGAGCCACAUAGGUAUUGUUUAUUGUGUUGCACCCAGUCGCGUCUCGUCUCAGCACCCCGUUUAAACUAAUGCAUGUCUGUUUAAAUGUCGAGAAACAGGGAAGGGUGCUGCAAGGAGGCAGCGACCCCAUGGACACAUCAGGACCAGGAUUUUACCAGUUACAUCCGGCUCAUCAUUAUUUAAACCAUCAGGAGGGAAAGAAGAGGAGGAAGGAGAAAGACGGAGAUUUCAUUUACCAACAACCACUCAUCAUUUUCUGCCACUAUUUACAUCACGCCUUGAUCCAGUUUUGCUUCUCAUUCCACUGGAAUCACAACAGCCCAAUCAUCGCCAGAAACCCUGGGGUUGGACAUUAUUAUCCGUCUUUCGCCGAGGAAGCACGUCUUUAAACCUUCGAUUGGGAAAGAUGGAAAAUAUUAAUUGUCAGAGGUGCGGCUUGGUAUAGGUAAAAUUUCCAUCCAUUCAUCCAUUUUCCAACCC